AGAGUGGAUGCCAUUUUGGUAUCGCUGUCCUCGUAUCCCUUUCAUCUAAAUUUAUUCCAGAGUUACAGGCGCGUAGCUCAGUUGGUUAGAGCGCACGACUGAUAAUCGUGAGGUCGGCAGUUCAAAUCUGCCCGUGCCUACCACCGCUAGAGUUGGCGCUAUUUUCUGAUAUGCAUAUAGAUUUAGGUGUGAGUGACAUCUGUUUCACCAUGUAAUGGCUAAUAUGGGCGUUAUUUGGUGCGUUUUUUGACAAGGUAAGUGAAGACAUCCAAGACCGCGGGAUUUCUAUUGUUUCUUUUUGAAAUAUUAGAAUCCUGCAAAACUCAAGCUUGAGUUUGUACGAGACGAGGUAUUUAUCUAGGUGAUUGCCUUUACGUACGUACCAAUCAAGCGUCUUUAAGGGCAUUUGGUGGAUGCCUUGGC
rnacentral:tRNA from 1 species